rnacentral:lncRNA from 1 species
GCAGAAAGGGUUUUAGCUGCUAGUAAUCCAGGUACUCAGAAAAACAGGCCUCAUAACAUGUUUGCAAGUGGACCCCCCAGCGUUCCACAAGCCAAUGGUGCGGUUGGUACUCCAGGUCCCCCACGGCCUUUUGCAAAUGGUCCUAUACCUCCAGCUCCUAUUCCAGCAAUCCGGCCGCCACCUAUGCAGCCUAAUGUCUACCCACCAAUGCAAAUGCCUGCACCACAAGCUUGGCAGGGGCAUCCUAUGCAACCAGGUCCGGCUGGCAUUCCGCAGCAGCAAAUGCAAUUCAGGGGAAUGCCACCUCCACCGCCCCCACAGGUAGCUCCACCCCUAAAUAGGCCCCCUCCACCACCAGCUGCAAUGGGCGCUCAGGUUUGGCGUCCUCCACCACCACCUCAGCACCUUAAUGGUGGCCCCUACCAUUCGAUGCCACAUAUGUCGAUGCAGCCACCCCCUCCUCCUCCUGCACAUGGUUGAAAACUUGAGAUGCCAAAUUUUGUAUUAGCUUGGAUGUCUAUUUCCUUUAAACAUAUGUUUAAACUAGUGCAUUCACCGUUGUGAGUGUCGAUGUUGGGAUUUCAAACUUUUAGUCAAGGAUUAGUUCGACAUGGAAGUAACUUUUGCUUUUGGCCUCUGUUGA